rnacentral:rRNA from 1 species
UACGUAGGGUGCAAGCGUUGUCCGGAAUUAUUGGGCGUAAAGGGCUCGUAGGCGGUCCGUCACGUCGGGAGUGAAAACUUGGGGCUUAACCCCAAGCCUGCUUCCGAUACGGGCGGACUAGAGGUAGGCAGGGGAGAACGGAAUUCCUGGUGUAGCGGUGAAAUGCGCAGAUAUCAGGAGGAACACCGGUGGCGAAGGCGGUUCUCUGGGCCUUACCUGACGCUGAAGAGCGAAAGCGUGGGGAGCAAACAGG